rnacentral:rRNA from 1 species
GACGAACGCUGGCGGCGUGCUUAACACAUGCGAGUCGAACGGAAAGGCCCUGCUUUUGUGGGGUGCUCGAGUGGCGAACGGGUGAGCAACACGUGAGUAACCUGCCCUUGACUUUGGGAUAACUUCAGGAAACUGGGGCUAAUACCGGAUAGGAGCUCCUGCUGCAUGGUGGGGGUUGGAAAGUUUCGGCGGUUGGGGAUGGACUCGCGGCUUAUCAGCUUGUUGGUGGGGUAGUGGCUUACCAAGGCUUUGACGGGUAGCCGGCCUGAGAGGGUGACCGGCCACAUUGGGACUGAGAUACGGCCCAGACUCCUACGGGAGGCAGCAGUGGGGAAUAUUGCACAAUGGGCGGAAGCCUGAUGCAGCAACGCCGCGUGCGGGAUGACGGCCUUCGGGUUGCAAACCGCUUUCGCCUGUGACGAAGCGUGAGUGACGGUAAUGGGUAAAGAAGCACCGGCUAACUACGUG